UGUGAAUAUUAACAUUACAAGUUAGUUUAAGUUUGCGAAAGAUUGUUUGGUAUUUGGUUGAUUUGUGCAAGGAAUAUAGGAUUUAGAUCAGAAAACACGUAAAUUCCAUAGGCUACUUGAAAAGGAUAAUGGAACUCGUUAUGAUUGUAUUCAGUUUGGUCACCGUCUUAAUCAGGGAGGGAACUCACGCCGCUCAAGACAACCUUUACUGCUACCACUGGACGCAGGAGGACAUUGCUGCUAUGGGACCUGAACGUUCAUUGAAUGCUCAAAGGGAGCAGUGUGAAAGUAACCCAGGAAGGGUGUUUACACAAGGAAACAACGAAGACUAUCCCAACUGUGGAACCUGUUGGUGUUGUCAACGCAAAGUUCAAGACAACUUCUACUGCUACCACUGGACGCAGGAAGACCUCGCUGCUAUGGGACCUGGUCGUUCAGUGGAGACUGAAAUGGAGCAGUGUGAAAGUUACCCAGGAAGGGUGUUUACACAAUGAAACAACAAAGACUAUCCCAACUGUGGAACCUGUUGGUGCUGUCAACGCAAAGUUCAAGACAACUUCUACUGCUACCACUGGACGCAGGAAGACCUCGCUGCUAUGGGAUCUGGUCGUUCAGUGGAGACUGAAUGGAGCAGUGUGAAAGUUACCCAGGAAGGGUGUUUACACAAGGAAACAACAAAGACUAUCCAAACUGUGGAACCUGUUGGUGCUGUCAACGCAAAGUUCAAGACAACUUUUACUGCUACCACUGGACGCAGGAAGACCUCGCUGCUAUGGGACCUGAACGUUCAUUGAAUGCUCAAAGGGAGCUGUGUGAAAGUCACCCAGAAAGGGUGUUUACACAAGGAAACAAUGCAGACAAUCCCAUCUGCGGAACUUGUUGGUGUUGUCAACGCAAAUGUACUUUCUUGAGAUUAAUAAUAUUUAGUAAAAU